GUUAGAGAAAUCGGGAAAAGUUAUUCCAAAUAUUAUUCUAACUCCACAUACCAAAUUUCACGAUCAAAUUCGCACUUCUAGUGUUUUCAUUAUUUGUAGUCAGGAAGACCUAACAUUGGUUGUCCCGAGAUGGAUCUCAGGAAUUGAACCUUCAACCUGUAUGACAGUGCAAAACGUCAAAUCUGUAUUUAUUUUGAUAGCCGAAAUAUAGAGCUGUCUUCGUCUUAAAUGCGACACACUGUAUAUUAUAUAACUUGUAGGCCAAAUUACGUAAUGUUAAUAAAAAUCCUUUGUAAAAGGUAUAUUUUUUUUAUUAAAAUCCCUUUAAGGGCUACAUCACAGAAUAUUUUCGAUUUUUAACAAAAUCAUCAUCAGUGUUGAGAACCCUGGUUCUCACUCUGGUAUUUCUUUGGUGGCUCAGCUUGCAAUUAACCUGUAAGUAUAACCAACUUGCUUUACCCUUAGUCAAAAUUUCAAAUAUUAACUUUGCAUUCAUUAACACAGUUAUACUUACUUUUAGGUUCCAAACACUGAUGAUGAUUUUAUUAAAAAUCGAAAAAGUUCUGUGAUGUAGCUCUUAAAGGGAUUUUAAUAAAAAAAUGUAUACCUUUUACAAAGGAUUUUUCAUUAAAUUUUGUGAUUGAUGGUAUACAGCCAGCUACAGAAAAAAUUCUUUCUUUUCCGUGUGGAUUUUGUAAUGUUAAACAGUUAUAGAAAGGAUUAAUACUGCUAUUAUAACCUAAUUCAGUGAAGUUUGCCACUCGGAGACAUCCACAUCUGCAUAUUACUUAUCACAGUUCUACACAGCAAACAAAACAAAAUCGAUUUUUUAUAUUUCUAAUGGAUACAUAAACACAUUGAAUAGCUUAGUGAAUACUGAUAGAAUAAGUAGUGAAAUAUAAAUCCAUAUAAAUAAUUAAAAUAUAAAUAAUCAAUGUUAUUUUAAAAAUUCAAUUGUUACUUAAAAGAGACUUUUCAGACCAUAAAUUAAAUUAUACAUAGAAAAAUAAAUAAGAAACAAUAAGAUACAUAAUUAUUUUCAUACUUAUCAAAAAGUAGACAUCUUUUGCUAUAAAAAGUUUACAACUUGUUCUACUUCUCGCCAAAUGUGUUUAAAAUUACCGAUUACCUACAUAAUAUCUUACAAAAAAGUUAUACACUUUUAAAUGGUAUUAGUGACAUAUUACAUGCUAUAAUACAAGUCAAAAUAUCAGUUCAGUGAUAUAUACAAGCACCAAAUCUAUAAAUUCAUUCUUGCAGUCGCUAUAUUAUAGUUGACGUCACACUCUCAUGUUAUUUUGAGGUUAGAUACAAUUGUAUUUUACGACAUUAAAUUAAAUCUACUAUAAUACUUUAAAUCAUAGACAUAUAAUACUUAUACUUAAUACAAUCUAAAAUUGCUCCACCAGUGCGACAGAGAAAAGUGUUGGUAUUUAGGAUAGGCAUCUCUUUCUAAUCGACGGGAAUCGGCGGGGUUUAUCCAAUGACGUUAGGUUUAUCGACCAUGUGACUUUCCCACUGCCACCGAUCAGAAACAGAUGCCUACUGAGGGAAAUAAUUUUAGAUUGAAGUGCGCAGUCUAGUCAUUAAAUGUCUAUGGCUAUAACCAUAGCUGAUUAUUUCAAAUCCAUUUUGUAAAUUUAUUUGAAAUAUUUUAUUGAACAAAAAAGCUUUAGUAUUAAAAUAAAUGCUGAAUCUUAGUUCUUUGGAAAUAAUUGAGAACUAUAUAACAGCUCACAAAUUAUUUAUACGUCACAGUGAACUACUAACUAGAUAAAACACGAAUAAAUAGUUUAAAAUGAAUUGAUAUGGAUCUAUUCUCACAAAAACUGAUGUGCCACGUCAUCUUAAUGUAGCGUAUAUUUUCAAUUCACCGUUAAGUGGAAUGUUGCCGAUUAAUGGUACACAAAAUUGUAUGCUAUUCUAAGUCAAAAAUGGAUUUUUUUUAUAUGCUUUUCUCAGGAAGAACCUUCUGCAUAAAAGUUUAUCUAUAAACACGUUAUGGGAUGCCACCAGUUUACAUCACUACCACUAAAAAUCAAAUUUGAAAUAAAUUGCACACAUUUGUACAUUAUCUCUUUAAAUGUCAUACUAUUUACUCAGUGGUAUGGCAUCUAUAAGAUAGAUAUAAUAACAGUAGACAUAUGGGCUGCUCUGUGAAUACAGGUGAAACGCGAAUAUUCUAGUUCUCUUUGAGUGGUCUAGCUAUCUUUGUCCUUCACACGCGCGUGAUCACGCGGUAAAGAGAGAUAGAUAGACCACUCCAAUCAGAUAUACUAGAGUGCCCAACGUUAUACUAUUUUGCUCAACCAUGCUUUGUCUAUUCUUAUUAUGUCUAUGAUCUAUAUACGGUUAUACUGUUACUACUGUUGGGUAAUAUACAUACUCAUUUUUUUAACUUUUGACAACUACUGGCCAACCGACACACAUCGAGUACAGAUGUUUUGUGGAAAUUAAAAUUGAUUUUAACAGAACACCAGUCCUUGAUGGCAACAUUAACUUAUCUACAAGUUUAUGCAAGAGGCUGCGCUAUUUUUCAGUCAAAAUAUAGAUUUUGCUAGAGUUAAUAUCUUGUUAUAAAGUAUCAAAUUCAUAAUCCAUCCAUUUUCUUAGUUAAAUAUAUUUUAUGUUUUAAAAAUUUAACUAGUUGAAAUACGAAUUGUUUAAAUUUAUAUAAACAUAUUUUAGCUUUAUAUUUAGUAAGAUAAUGUUUUUAACUACUUGUCUUAAAAUAUAUUUAAAUACAAAUCAAUCGGGUAAAAGGUAAAAUUAAAAAUUUUUCUGUGUGGAAUUACAUCAUGGAUAUUGGAAAUCCAUUUAGCUAUUGAUAAAGUAACUAUUUUUUAUAAUAUUUUAUAACAAGUAAUUACAAGUUUUUAUAAUGUAAAUGUAGAAAAUAAAGAGCACCCCCUAACAUGGUGCUCAUAUAGGAAAAUAUAUUAGGAAAAGAAGAGAAAUAAGUGUUCUGAGGAGAUAUCGCAACAAAGAGCGAAAUUUAUUUAGAAAAAAAUUGGAAGAAAGACAGGUAAUAGAGGCAGUCACAUAAUGAUGAGAAUAUAAUGGGAUAUAGAUGGCGCCCCUAAUAAAAAAACUAUGAUUUAAAAAGUACCUCUUUCAAACAUAACCUGUUAAAAUAUAGACCAAAUCGGGCCAUUAAUAAUUUAUAAGUUACAGUUGUUUAAGUGAUGUUACUUUGGAAAUUUUCAAAACAAUGAAAAAAAAA
rnacentral:lncRNA from 1 species